rnacentral:rRNA from 12 species
GCCAGAGUGAAGGUGCGGUAACACGCACUGGAGGCUCGAACCCAAGUAUGUUGAAAAAUGCUGGGAUGAGCUGUGGGUCGGAGUGAAAGGCUAAUCAAGUCCGGAGAUAGCUGGUUCUCCCCGAAAGCUAUUUAGGUAGCGCCUCGGACGAAUACCACAGGGGGUAGAGCACUGUUUCGGCUAGGGGGUCAUCCCGACUUACCAAACCGAUGCAAACUCCGAAUACCGGUGAGUGCAGUACGGGAGACACACGGCGGGUGCUAACGUCCGUCGUGGAGAGGGAAACAACCCAGACCGCCAGCUAAGGUCCCCAAGUACCAGUUAAGUGGGAAACGAUGUGGGAAGGCUUAGACAGCUAGGAGGUUGGCUUAGAAGCAGCCAUCCUUUAAAGAAAGCGUAAUAGCUCACUAGUCGAGUCGGCCUGCGCGGAAGAUGUAACGGGGCUCAAACUGGUCACCGAAGCUGCGGCUGCAUACUUUGUAUGCGGGGUAGGGGAGCGUUCUGU